rnacentral:SRP_RNA from 1 species
GCUGGGCAUUGUGGUGGGCACCUGUGGUCCCAGCUACUAGGGAGGCAGAGGCAGGAGACUCACUUGAGCCCAGGAGUUGGAGGUUGCUGUGAGCAGUGAAGCCAUGGCACUCUACCCAGAGUGACAGCUUGAGGCGCUGUCUAAAAAAAAAAAAACUUCUCUGUGAAAGACUAUGCUAAGAGAAUGAAAGAACAAGUCACAGACUGAAAAAAUUUUUAUUUUUAUUUUUAUUUUUUUUUGAGACAGAGCCUCAAGCUGUCACCCUAGGUAGAGUGCCAUGGCUUCACUGCUCACAGCAACCUCCAACUCCUGGGCUCAAGCGAGUCUCCUGCCUCAG